GUAGGUGGCAAGCGUUGUCCGGAAUUAUUGGGCGUAAAGCGCGCGCAGGCGGUUCUUUAAGUCUGAUGUGAAAGCCCACGGCUCAACCGUGGAGGGUCAUUGGAAACUGGAGAACUUGAGUACAGAAGAGGAAAGCGGAAUUCCACGUGUAGCGGUGAAAUGCGUAGAGAUGUGGAGGAACACCAGUGGCGAAGGCGGCUUUCUGGUCUGUAACUGACGCUGAGGCGCGAAAGCGUGGGGAGCAAACAGGAUUAGAUACCCUGGUAGUCCACGCCGUAAACGAUGAGUGCUAGUGUUAGGGGGUUUCCGCCCCCCUUAGUGCUGCAGCUAACGCAUUAAGCACUCCGCCUGGGAGUACGGCCGCAAGGCUG
rnacentral:rRNA from 1 species